ACCUCCACGACUUAGAUUAUAGAUUCCUAUACGACUCUCAGUAAAAAUUUAUCCGCACUCCAGAUAGUUAAAACUUCUGUCGACCGUAUUGAUCCAUCUGCACUCUUCGUAUGACGUCAAUAUCUGUUCAGUGCUGCUGCGCAGGUUUCUUUGUGUUACGUCAAUUCGUUUGUGACCGUUGCGCGAGUAAUGGCGCUUUGCAAUGGUGAUUUGCAGGAAAACAGUGCAGGAUGCUGUGAUUCGUUUCUUGUGGUCGGAGGUUAUGUUUGAUGCCUAUAUUUAUCAAAGAUUUAAUGCACAUUAUGGAGAAAGUGUUUUGUCACGAAGUGUGUUUGAAUGGGCACAAAAGUUCAAAGAAGAUCGCACAAGUGUUAUGAAAAAACAGCUGGACGCCCGUCCACAUCCACGAUGACAACAUUGAACGUGCUCAUGAACUUAUGCUCUAUGGAAUAGACGAGUGACACUGGAUAAUGUGGCAAAUCAUUUGCAAAUCAGCCACGGCUCUGCUUAUGCAAUAGUGCACGACAGAUUUGGAUUUUAAAAAGUUUGUGCGAGAUGGAUGCCGAAAAAGCUGAUGAAAAGGUGAAGACGACGAUGCAUUCGUGGUUCGCAGCUCAGCCCAAAACAUUUUUUAAUGAGAAAAUACAAAGGUCCUUCGGCAAAUGGACAAAGUGUAUACAGAAAUCGAGUGAUUAUGUCAAAAAAUGAUGUAUGUCUUUUUUGACAAUUGCUUAAAAUAAAUUCUACACCGACAGAGCGGGCUGUUAAUCUAGAGGCUGGAGUACAAAGAAGUGGCACAAUGAUGUGGGCUGAUGACAUUUAUAAUUAUCAAGGAAUCACCCCUACAUUUGCUCAGAAUUUUAAUGAAACUGUCCCUUGGGAAGGAAGAACUGAUACCUUGAUAUCACGGUUUGUACAUCCUAUAUAUACGACAAAUUUUAGAACAUUAUAUAACGAAGAACCAGAUCGUCGUGGCCAUGUGAUGUGAAUAAAAGGACUUGAAUUUGAUGAUAUUUUUAUAAUGUUAGAUAACAUAACUAAGUAUCUUCACAGUAAGAUAGGAUGACAUGGUUUACAUGAUCUUAAUGUUGUUCACUCGAGUGAUGAUAUUAUAAGGAAAAGCGUAAUAUCACAGGAUAUUUAUGUUUAGUAACCAGUAAUUCAGAGAUUGGUAUUCAUGGUUACUAUAACGAGGCUGUAGAAACGCACCCUUUCUUCUUUGCAAAUGGCCCUGUAUGUAUGUCUAAGCCGAAACUGGAACCUCUGAAUAAUUUAGAUUUAUUCUUGUUAUUUUCUAAAAUACUUAUCUACAGUAUACCAUAAGGAAUGAUACCGUAUCGCACCUAAUCAAGUGCCUUAAGAAACAUCAACAGGAUAUCACAGUAAUCCCUUAUCGACAGAUAUUUGUAGCCACUACAAUAUCUAUGACACUGGUAGUAAUUAUAAGAACAAUAAUGAUGUUCUAUAAGAGGAAAUGAUGAUUAGGAACAAAAACUUACAGGAGAUAUCAUGCGGUGGAUGGAUAAUAUGCAAAAAAUAUUAAGCAGUAUAUGAAUUUUCGUAUUGCGUAGAGAUAACAAAAUGAAUUUUAAAAAAUGUCGACACGGUAAUAAGAAAUAGCAUCAUGACAAAGAAUAUAUAAAGACAGUUUCAUUUUUUAUAAAUAAAAAUUUGUUGUUCCAGAUUUUGAAAUACAGUGAAACGUUUAAUUAGUAUCUUAAUAUCUUUAAAUAAUUAUUAUUUUAGAAUCAAUUGUAAUUGUAUCAUACGUACUUUUGAAUUCGUGCAAGAACAUAUGUAAUUUUGAAGUAGUUAUUAUUAGGAAAUUGUUAGACGCGAACAGUAUGCGAAAAGUUAGUAUGCAGUGUAAUAAUUAUCAAUCAAAACACAAGAAUUAAAUUCUUGAGGAAAAAAUUUCCGGAAUUUCUUAUUUACAUGAUUAUAAAGAAAUCCAUAAUAAAAAGGAGCUGCUUUCUAAUACUUCUCUUCCUUGUAAUGCCUACGUUAACAAUAACGAGGUUCGACUUUUUGUUUUUAGAGGGAUACUGGAAAAUUUGAAAGUACAGUACCAUUGGGAAGAAAAUCACGAUAUUGAAAACGAUAUUUGCAAAUUGAACAAUAUUCC